rnacentral:rRNA from 1 species
CGAUAGUGGGGGAUAACCUGGGGAAACCCAGGCUAAUACCGCAUACGUCCUACGGGAGAAAGGGGGCUCCGGCUCCCGCUAUGGGAUGAGCCAUGUCGGAUUAGCUAGUUGGUGAGGUAAUGGCUCACCAAGGCAACGAUCCGUAGCUGGUCUGAGAGGAUGAUCAGCCACAUCGGGACUGAGACACGGCCCGAACUCCUACGGGAGGCAGCAGUGGGGAAUAUUGGACAAUGGGGGCAAGCCUGAUCCAGCCAUGCCGCGUGUGUGAAGAAGGCCCUCGGGUUGUAAAGCACUUUCAGCGAGGAAGAACGCCUAGCGGUUAAUACCCGCUAGGAAAGACAUCACUCGCAGAAGAAGCACCGGCUAACUCCGUGCCAGCAGCCGCGGUAAUACGGAGGGUGCAAGCGUUAAUCGGAAUUACUGGGCGUAAAGCGCGCGUAGGUGGCUUGAUAAGCCGGUUGUGAAAGCCCCGGGCUCAACCUGGGAACGGCAUCCGGAACUGUCAAGCUAGAGUGCAGGAGAGGAAGGUAGAAUUCCCGGUGUAGCGGUGAAAUGCGUAGAGAUCGGGAGGAAUACCAGUGGCGAAGGCGGCCUUCUGGACUGACACUGACACUGAGGUGCGAAAGCGUGGGUAGCAAACAGGAUUAGAUACCCUGGUAGUCCACGCCGUAAACGAUGUCGACCAGCCGUUGGGUGCCUAGCGCACUUUGUGGCGAAGUUAACGCGAUAAGUCGACCGCCUGGGGAGUACGGCCGCAAGGUUAAAACUCAAAUGAAUUGACGGGGGCCCGCACAAGCGGUGGAGCAUGUGGUUUAAUUCGAUGCAACGCGAAGAACCUUACCUACUCUUGACAUCCUGCGAAUUUGGUAGAGAUACCUUAGUGCCUUCGGGAACGCAGAGACAGGUGCUGCA